UACGUAGGGUGCAAGCGUUGUCCGGAAUUAUUGGGCGUAAAGAGCUCGUAGGCGGUCUGUUGCGUCGGCUGUGAAAACCCGAGGCUCAACCUCGGGCCUGCAGCCGAUACGGGCAGACUAGAGUUCGGCAGGGGAGACUGGAAUUCCUGGUGUAGCGGUGAAAUGCGUAGAUAUCUGGAGGAACACCGGUGGCGAAGGCGGCAUCCUGGACCAACACUGACACUGAAAAGCGAAAGCCAGGGGAGCAAACGGG
rnacentral:rRNA from 1 species